rnacentral:lncRNA from 1 species
CUACCAGCUGAUUCCUUUCUAGCAAUGUAAUGCUUCACCGUCAGCUGACUGACACAAGAAGCAAAAGAGAGAUAUUAACACUCUUAGCUGAAACCAGGACACAAUUCUAGCUUCGUAAGUUUCCCCUCAAGUGCUGGUAAGCCAUGAUGAGGUCUCUCCAGAGCUUCCUCUUCUCCAGAGUAAAGAAGACCAACUUCCUCAUCCUUCCUGAUCACCAUCAUCACAGCUCUCUUCUGGACCCACUCCAACAACUCCAUAUACUUUUUGUUCUGAGGACCCCAAGACCCGGACACAGUACUCCAGAUGCAAUCUUACGAUGCCAGAGUAGACAGAGACAAUCACCUCCCUUGUCCUGCUGGAUGCCUCUCUUUUGAUGUAGUCCAGGAAACUGCAGGCCUUCCAGGCUGCAUGUGCCCACAGCUGGCUUAUGUUCAGCUUUUCAUUGGCCAGGGUCCUCAAUCCUUCUCCACAGGACUGCAGUGAAUUAGUUCUUCUCUCAGUCUGUACACAUAUCUGGGAUUGCCCUGCAAGACACCGUACAAAAAUUCCUUUUGUCUCAAAGAUUGCUGUGGAGUGCAAGGACAACUGGAGGCAUCUCUGCCUACACAGGGUUGUCAGGAACAAGGUAGAUAAGGGGAAUGUCUCAAUGUUUAUCACCUUCUGGGCUACUCCUGAGAUGAAAUGGCUUGGCCUUGUGUGGAGACUCCAGCUUCCCUGAUGCGGAUAAGCCUGCAUUGGACUGCUGCACCUGUGUAUGACAUGCCGUUACUACAGGCAACCCAAGAAGAAUCAGACAGUAUACAUAUGAAUUUAGCAAAACCAGGGUGUGUGCUUUUCCCUUGUGCUUUCCUUCUGCCUGUGAUCAAGGAAAAAUCUGCACUCCGCACCCUCAGUGCCAAUCAGAGUCAUGAAAUAUUGUGCACUGAAGUGGUAACUAUCUUUAUAUUCUUAUAACAAAUCCUUGCUUUUAUUUUCUGUCUUUUUAUUAUUGCUUUCUUCAUUCCACUUCCCAUCUAGUUCCCAGGUCUAGAUAACCAAAACUUUUAUAAUAAGCUGUUUGGGCAAAUAUUUGACCUCUUUCUGGGUCUUAAUCACAUGUUAGAUAUACAUAUAUCACAAACCAUCUCACCACAGAUAAUUGGAGCGAGACAGCUCCAACCCAAGAGAAACUCCUUGCACUUGGCAUUCUGGAACCUCAUUUGCUUCAUGUGGGCCCAAUUUUGAAGCCUGUCCAGGUCCCUCUGGAUGCCAUUCUUUCCUUUUAUUGUAUCAACUGCACCACUCAGCUUGGUGUUGUCUGUGAACUUGCUGAGGGUGCAAUCAGUCCCAGAGUCUACAUAACUGAUAACAAUGUUAAAGAAUACUGGCCCCAAGAGAGACAACUGAGGAACAACACCUGUGACUUGCCUCCACCUGUACAUAGUGCAGGUUAUGCAGUAUGAAAUGCUCUAAUCUUAUUUGAAAGGGAAAUUGGGAAUCGUAAAGAGAAAUGCCUUUCUAUUUACCUGCUUAGGUUUCUUCUGAUAAAAAGUAACUUUACAUGUUAUCUCAUAUUUUACACAAGAAAAAUUGAUCUUGAAGAAAUUCAAAGAAAAUAAAAAAUAAAAGAUUAUUUUAGUUUUGCUAUUGAACCUCCUCAAUCUGAUAGUAAGAAGCAAAAACAAUGGUGAAGGCAAUUUAAUUAUCAUGACCUAAAUCAGAAACUACAUAUUUUGAAAGAGUUAAGUUACAAAAGCUGAUUUACAAGUUUUAGAUUCCAAAGAACAAUGCUUGCUUUCAAACAAUAUAUCUUAGUAUUUAUCUUUUAAAAACAAAAAUUAUUCUUCUAAAAACAAAAAUAAAUCAAAAAUAUAUAUAUUUGGGGAAAAAAAAAAAAAACUAUCCAAUUAGUUGAAUUGGAUAAUUCAUAAAUGCAAAUAACUCCCAUAUAUAUGCAAUUUUACGUUUCAUUAUUUUCAUUUACUCUUCUACACUGAUUUUAUUGUUUUCUUGAAGUAGCUAUAAAUGAUUUUCAAUUUGCAUUUUGCCUCAUUUAUCUAUAUACAUUUUUUCAGGCUACUGGCAUACUUUCUCUUGUAAAACUGUAUAUGAAAUAGAGCAACUUUGGGAGUAGAUGAAAGGAAACCUACUAACCUGGAUCUUCCUGAAUAAAGUGAAAGUUGUUGACAAUAAAAAAAAAAAAAAAAAAAAAAGAGGAAUGAUAAUUAAAAACGAAAAACAAAAAAACAUAGAUUUGAGUCAAUGCUGCAUUUCUCUUAGAAUUAUGAGGUGUUAUUUAACACUUAGCAAACGCGGAAAUCUGGCAAGAACCUGUGUUAAAUUAAGUGUCUUGCCUAAGAAACUCCUCAGAAGUACAUAUUCUACAUGUGACACAGAGUAGCAAUUUGAUUUUAGCAGCAGUACCUGUUCAUAUAUUUUAAAAUAAUUAAAGAUAUACUAUGAUGCCUUAGGUAGCAAGUCCUUAAGUUGUUUAGCAACCUGAUAACAUAAUUUACAUAUUCUUUAUCAAAAUUUUCCCUAUAUCUAUGUCACAAAAGUCCAAGAGCCCUGAAGAGCACUUAGUUUUCUGUUCUAGCCCUAAGAGGCCAAUACACAAUCCAGUGGAGGCAGUUAUUCUAAGGUUUGACAUCCUUAAUAUUUCUAUUCAUCAGAAAAGUUAUAUAAUUCCUAUUUUCAGAAUGAUAAAAUGGAAUACAG